rnacentral:rRNA from 1 species
GGGUCAGUAGGUUGGUCGUGCUACCGGUACGUACUGGUCUCACUGAUUCCUCCUUCCUGAAGAACCGUAAUGCCAUUAAUUUGGUGUUGCGGGGAAACAGGACUGUUACUUUGAAAAAAUUAGAGUGUUUAAAGCAAGCUAACGCUUGAAUACAUUAGCACGGAAUAAUGAAAUAGGACGAUCGAUCCUAUUUUGUUGGUUUCUAGGAUUGACGUA